rnacentral:rRNA from 1 species
UACGAAGGGGGGCUAGCGUUGUUCGGAAUUACUGGGCGUAAAGCGCACGUAGGCGGAAUGUUAAGUCAGGGGUGAAAUCCCGGGGCUCAACCUCGGAACUGCCUUUGAUACUGCAAAUCUCGAGUCCGGAAGAGGUGAGUGGAAUUCCUAGUGUAGAGGUGAAAUUCGUAGAUAUUAGGAAGAACACCAGUGGCGAAGGCGGCUCACUGGUCCGGUACUGACGCUGAGGUGCGAAAGCGUGGGGAGCAAACAGGG